UACGUAGGGGGCUAGCGUUGUCCGGAAUUACUGGGCGUAAAGCGCGCGCAGGCGGCCCGCGAGGUGUCACGUGAAAGCCCCGGGCUCAACCCGGGAGGGUCGUGGCAAACCGGCGGGCUUGAGGCCGGUAGAGGUGGGUGGAACUCCUGGUGGAGUGGUGAAAUGCGUAGAGAUCAGGAAGAACACCCGUGGCGAAGGCGGCCCACUGGGCCGGUACUGACGCUGAGGCGCGAAGGCGUGGGGAGCGAACGGG
rnacentral:rRNA from 1 species